GCCUGUGCACAACAUGUUAUUGGACUUCAAAUGGCGUUUUGGAAAUAUGGCACAGUUAUAUUCCUUUAUAAACCUACCAGAUUUACACCCAAUGAAUUAUAGUUAUAUACACAGGAAACAUCCCAGAAUGGAGAGAGUCGAACAAAGCUCGCAAGAUGCAGAAGAUCCCAACAGCAACAGCAAGCAACAGAAAUCCAGCAGCAGCAGAAAUCAGCACUAUCAGAAAGUUUGGAGAACCUGAAGAAGGACCUGAAGGGGAACCUGAAGUUGGUUUUGGGGGAGUGUGGGGGUCUGGUGUAGCAGCUGAAGAGGGACAGUCAGUGUGGGGGUCUGGUGUAGUGGCUGAAGAGGGACAUUUGUACUAAUGACAUUGAUGUACCCGAAUGAAGACACUAGCAGUGAUAUUAUGGAGUAUAUGGAUACAGACGCUGGCAGCACUCAGGAGGUGAUCCAGAAGACUCAUGGGAAUCUAUGCCAUAAGAUUUGAAGGUGCAGACAUUGAAGACAGCCCAGCAGAUGUUGGAGUAUUGAAAGAUAAAGUUCUUCAGGACCGUAGCAGCAUAUACUAUGAACAAACAUGUUGCUGGGACUGAUAUAUGGACUAAACUUGAACUCCUGAAAUCAGGUACACAUUUGGAGUACUGCAGAAGUUAUUUCUGGAGCCAGUUCCUGGAAUAAGGUUUGAUUGGUUACCUGUAUAUGCCAUUUAGAAAAUGUCAGUAGUUUGAUAUGUUCUGCUAUUUUGUGUAAUUUUGUAAUGUGGUUGUAACUGUAUUUAUUACUCUUGUUUAACAAAUACACUUGAUCA